CUACAUCACGUAGAAACCCCAGUUUUCAUAUGAUUAUCGAAGUUAAGCAACGUUGAGCUUAGCCAGUAUUUAAAUGGGUGACCGCUUGGCAAUACCAGGUGCUGUAA